AGAGUUUGAUCAUGGCUCAGGAUGAACGCUGACAGAAUGCUUAACACAUGCAAGUCAAUUCUAGCUUGCUAGGAUGGCGGACGGGUGAGUAACGCGUAAGAAACUUACCUCUCAGACUGGGACAACUGUUGGAAACGACAGCUAAUACUGGAUAUUAUGGGAUUUUCGCAUGAAAAACCUAUGAAAGCUAAAUGCACUGAGAGAGAGUCUUGCGUUCCAUUAGCUAGUUGGUGAGGUAAAGGCUCACCAAGGCGACGAUGGAUAGCCGGCCUGAGAGGGUGAACGGCCACAAGGGGACUGAGACACGGCCCUACUCCUACGGGAGGCAGCAGUGGGGAAUAUUGGACAAUGGACCAAAAGUCUGAUCCAGCAAUUCUGUGUGCACGAAGAAGGUUUUCGGAUUGUAAAGUGCUUUCAGUUGGGAAGAAGAAAGUGACGGUACCAACAGAAGAAGCGACGGCUAAAUACGUGCCAGCAGCCGCGGUAAUACGUAUGUCGCAAGCGUUAUCCGGAUUUAUUGGGCGUAAAGCGCGUCUAGGCGGAAAAGAAAGUCUGAUGUGAAAAUGCGGGGCUCAACUCCGUAUUGCGUUGGAAACUACUAUUCUAGAGUACUGGAGAGGUGGGCGGAACUACAAGUGUAGAGGUGAAAUUCGUAGAUAUUUGUAGGAAUGCCGAUGGAGAAGUCAGCUCACUGGACAGAUACUGACGCUGAAGCGCGAAAGCGUGGGGAGCAAACAGGAUUAGAUACCCUGGUAGU
rnacentral:rRNA from 1 species